rnacentral:rRNA from 1 species
AAUAGAUACCCUGGUAGUCCACGCCGUAAACGUUGGGCGCUAGAUGUGGGGACCUUUCCGACGGUUUCCGUGUCGUAGCUAACGCAUUAAGCGCCCCGCCUGGGGAGUACGGCCGCAAGGCUAAAACUCAAAGGAAUUGACGGGGGCCCGCACAAGCGGCGGAGCAUGCGGAUUAAUUCGAUGCAACGCGAAGAACCUUACCAAGGCUUGACAUAACCGAGAACACCGUAGAAAUACGGGACUCUUUGGACACUCGGUUUACAGGUGGUGCAUGGUUGUCGUCAGCUCGUGUCGUGAGAUGUUGGGUUAAGUCCCGCAACGAGCGCAACCCUCGUCGCAUGUUGCCAGCACGUCAUGGUGGGAACUCAUGUGAGACUGCCGGGGUCAACUCGGAGGAAGGUGGGGAUGACGUCAAAUCAUCAUGCCCCUUAUGUCUUGGGCUUCACGCAUGCUACAAUGGCCGGUACAAAGGGCUGCGAUGUCGUAAGGCGGAGCGAAUCCCAAAAAGCCGGUCUCAGUUCGGAUUGAGGUCUGCAACUCCG